GGGUUUGAGAUAAACAAACAAGCUGCUAGAUUGACAAGGGGUGUCUUAUGCUGGGAAAAUAAGUGAAUGUAUAGGUUGGGAGAGAGGGAACAGGGUCAAUUAAACUGUGGAGCAAUAGGGGUGGCAAAUUUUGGAUUUGAUAGUUGAUUUCUAAAGGUAUAUUUUCAACUUUCAUGCCCAGGGAGAGAGCAAGAGCGAGAGCAAGAGAGACCUUGGUGGUCGGCAGGAGUGGUGACUGUGCCUUUAGGACAUCCUACCGUAGGGGCUCCAGCAGAGACUGUGGGCUGUAGUCCUCCUGUUUAUCUUGCAGACUUUGUGAAUUACCACCUACUUUGAAAUUACAAGCUAAAAUUGUAUGAUCUAGUAUCAAGGGAUUCAAAUCUUCAUGAGAAUAUCAGUGUGGGGAAGUGGAUGUGAAAAUGGACCAGAAAGGAGUGAAGCAGCUUUCUGGCUUUGUAACUUCUCACUGAAGAUAAAGAACAGAUGUAAACUAGUAUUUUUU
rnacentral:lncRNA from 1 species